GACGAACGCUGGCGGCGUGCUUAACACAUGCAAGUCGAACGGAAAGGCCCUGCUUUUGUGGGGUGCUCGAGUGGCGAACGGGUGAGUAACACGUUAGUAACCUGCCCUUGACUUUGGGAUAACUUCAUGAAACUUGGGCUAAUACCGGAUAGGAGCUCCUGCUGCAUGGUGGGGGUUGGAAAGUUUCGGCGGUUGGGGAUGUACGCGCGGCUUAUCAGCUUGUUGGUGGGGUAGUGGCUUACCAAGGCUUUGACGGGUAGCCGGCCUGAGAGGGUGACCGGCCACAUUGGGACUGAGAUACGGCCCAGACUCCUACGGGAAGCAGCAGAGGGGAAUAUUGCACAAUGGGCGGAAGCCUGAUGCAGCGACGCCGCGUGCGGGAUGACGGCCUUCGGGUUGUAAACCGCUUUCGCCUGUGACGAAGCGUGAGUGACGGUAAUGGGUAAAGAAGCACCGGCUAACUACGUG
rnacentral:rRNA from 1 species